UACAAGCAGAUGCUACGGACUCAGCAACAGUUCCUGGCUGGCGAAUGUAUGACCUGAGGCUGCAACCUGCACCAAGCCACACCUGUAACGAAUAAAGAUUAGUAGUAACAGUACUCCGCAAUAUGUAGCUCAAGAUGCUUGAAAUCAUUUCUUUAUUAUUUAGUUUGUAAAUCCACACUCCGAUCAAUAGAUACCGGCGCUGCGGCUCGGCGCCUACCUCCACAAAUUAAUAGCGAUAUGUCAUCUAACCAACACCUGUUCGCACACAAUCCCCAUCACCCAACCAGAAAGACCAACGGAGAACAUUGAAUAUGAAAGUGUGGACAUUGAGAGAAUAAUCAGCUUGUCACCUAGGAACUUCUGUUGCCGAUUCAAAGGGCUGACAUUGAAGAAAACAAGGAAGUCAUCUUGCAAGGAAUGUCCUAAAAAACCAACAAAAAAAAGUAAACUGAUUUAUUCGGAUUCAUACCCCGUGUCAGUUGAGCCCUUCAACAUUCAAAACAAGAACUUUAAAAAUACCAUAAUUUACUCUCUCUAAGCCGCCAUGAACUCCUAUGAGGCUAUCCUCAUGGAGAAAUACCUACCUGUUCCUUGCUUGGACCAACAUAAAAGCAAUGGCAGCAUAAAUUCAAGUUUGACUUUGCAAAAAUUCUUUGGCAGAGAGUGGGAAGUAAAUCAGGACUGCAUAAGUUGACCCAUGAGCCUUAACAUCAUAUAGCAGUAUCCAAUUCUUAUUCCCAAAUGACAACAUCCAAAAAAAGCUAGGACAGUCCUAUCUCCAAGUAGCUAGUUAUUCACGAUUUCACGUACUCCCACAGAAGGACCCAAAUGUGGAACCAAUGACUACAGAGGUGUUGACACUGAGAAAGGAAAGGCAGCUUGUCACCAAAUAACUUCUAUGCCAAUUCAGAGGUCUGGCCUCUGUUAGGUAACUUAACAUAAAUGGUGCUAUAUGAAAAUAUAGAGGGACCGCAAUAUUUCAUUGAAGAAAAUACGUCUAGCGUCUUGCAUGGAACGUCCUACGAAAGGAAAAGGAAACAGAUCUAUUUGCACUCACAAUUCAGGUUGAUUAAGCACUUCAACCUUCAAAAUGGGGACUUCAAUAAUUAACUAAUUCAAUCAUAUCUAUCCCAACGCCAUCAUGGGUGACUCUGAUGGGGCAGUCAGCUUGAAGAAAUACCUACCUAGGCAUAGAAGAAAGAAGUUGAAGUAGGAAUUCAAAUUUGACCAGAGAAUGCACCCAGGCAGCAAGUGUGAACUAAAUCAGAUUUAAAUAGGUUCAUGACUCAAGAACCCGAUCAUAAAUGGAAGAACCAUACAGUAUCUCUCACACCACAAAAAAUGGCCAAAUUCCUCUCUCUGAUCAUUCUUCCAUUGCUCACCUUUCUUCCAUGC
rnacentral:lncRNA from 1 species